AGACUCUUUAAUAAACUAGGGUCCAUUUCUUAGCCAGACUCAGUGCUAUGUGUCAUCACUUGACCCAGGAGUUUGAAGCUCAAUUUGGGGAUAUUUGUAAUGAUUCUAACUUAUUUAUAUCAUAGCAACCUUUGACCAACAUGACUUUAUAUGCAUCUUUUGACAAUUUUCUGAUUUCAUUGGGAUAAGUCCCUGGAAAAUAAUUUUGGAAAUAAAUGUUGUACCUACUUUUUAGGAUCUUGAUAUACACUUUGUGUCUUCUGAAAGGUAUCUAUGACCUGGGUAUGGUAGUGCAGGCCUGUAAUCUCAGUUACUCAGGACACUGAGGCUGGAGGAUCCCAAGUUUGAGGCAAACCUGGGCAAUUUAGCAAGAUCCUGUCUUGAAAUAAAAUUGUAAAAGGGGUGCAGGUGGAGUUCAGUGUAAAGCAUCUGCAUAUGCAUGCAUGAGGCUCUAGAUUAAAUUCACAGCACCAAAAAGGAAAGUCACUAAUGCCAAAGCACUAUGAUCUUCUGUUCCAAAUUCUAAAAAUAUUAACAGGCAUUUCUGGAAAAAAAUGUACAUAAAAUCUGCUCUUACAGCUAAUGCAUAUGUGGAAAGCUCUCAGAACCCAAUAAAAGAAAUAAAAAUUGUAAACAAUCUCAGGACUGUGCUCAAGGAAUAGCAUUGAAAACCCCCCUUUCUUCUCAAAAUAAAACCUGAUGAAUUAUUUUCUUCUGAAAUUCCAUAUUCUAGCCCACUGGCCACUUUGAAACGCUGCAAAAGCUAGAAGAUAGGUUUUCACAUACUGUCAUUUUUGCUUGAAAGGGAUGAAGCUUCGGGAGGUCUCACUUGGCUUGGUAUCUUCACAGAAAGUCCUAGGAGAGAAAAACAUGUUAAGAACUUUGUGAGAGUGGGUGGGAAAGUGGGUCAUUGUGAAAUUUCUGAUGAAAUGGAAAAGCCAGAGAGAAGGCUGAUCUAUGGAAUAUAUCUCAAUGGGUAGCAGGAAGAAUUUUGUGGGGAUUUCAAAUUCAGCCAAGAUGCAUGUGAGCUAAGAAAUGAAACAGGUUUAAGAUCUAUGCAUAUGGGCUUGGAGUAAAGAGCAUGCAAGAGGCUCUUACUGAUUCCCAAACACACAUAUAUGCAUGCAUACACACACACACACACUCACAUAUACACAAUCACACACUCACACAAACACACACACAUGAGAUUAAAAACUAUAUCAAUAAAAUAGGACAGAUUUUACAAACAAAAGCAUAAUUUGGCAUGAACAUACUUUACAUACAGAGUUACAAAAAAUUGUGCUGUGAAUGGAUAAUUAUGAAUGUAAUGCAUUCCACUAUUGUCAUGUAUGUAUGUAAGAAAUAAAUUUUAAAAAAGAAAUUGUAGAACUAAAAAAUACAAUCAAUAAUUUAGACUUAACAGAUAUGUAUAGAAUAUUUCAUCUAUCAAUGAGCAAAAAUACUUUCUUCUCAGCAGCACAUGGCUCCUUAUCUAAAAUAGACCAUAUCUUAGGCCACAAAGCAACUCAGUAAAUACAAAAAAAAAAAGAAAAGAAAGAAAGAAAACAGAGAUAAUACCACACAGUCUAUCAGACCAAAAUGGAAUGAUUUAGAAAUCAAUGAUACAAUAAAAAAUAGAAGCUUCUGUAAAAAAUGGAGACUAAGUAAUAUACAAUGGAAUGAUGAAUGGAUUGUAGAAGAAAUUAAGAAUGAAAUUAAAAAAAACUUACAGGUAAAUGAGAACACUGAUACAACAUAUCAAAAUCUCUAGGACACUAUGAAGGCAGUACUAAGAGGAAAGUUUAUUGCAUUGAGUACAUUCAUUAAAAGAAUAAAAAGCCAACAAAUAAAUGAUCUAACACUACAUCUCAAAGCCCUAGAAAAAGAAGAACAAAUCAACACCAAAAUCAGUAAAAGACGGGAAAUAAUUAAAAUCAGAGCUGAAAUUAAUGAAAUUGAAACAAAAGAUACAAUUUAAAAAUUGACCAAAAAAGUUGGUUCUUUGAAAAAAUAAGUGAUAGAUAAACUUAUUUUUUUAAAAAAAAUAUUUUUUAAAUUUGUUUAUAAUAAGAAAAUAAGAAAUAGAUAAAUCUCUGGCCAGGCUAAUGAAGAGACAAAGAGAGAAAACUCAAAUUACUAAAAUACAAGAUAAAGAAGAAAAUAUCACAAUGGACAUUAGAAAAUAUUCUGAAAAUUCAUACUCUAAUAAAAUAGAAAAUAUCAAAGAUAUCAACAAAUUUCUAGAGACAUACAAUCUACCCAAAAUGAAUGAGAAGAUCAUACAUGAUUUAAACAGAUCAAUUUCAAGUAAUGAAAUAGAAAACACCAUCAAAAGCCUACCAACCAAGAAAAGUUCAGUACCAGAUAGAGUUCUACAAGACUUUCAAGAAAAAUUAACACCAAUACUCCUCAAAUUAUUCCAUGAAUUAGAAAAGGAAGGAACCCUUCUAAACUCAUUCUAUGAGGUCAGUAUCACCAUGGUACCAAAACCAGACAAAGACACAUCAAAGAACGAAAACUUCAGACCAAUAUCCCUCAUGAUCAUAGAUGCAAAAAUUCUCAAUAAAAUUCUGGAAAAUCGCAUACAAAGACAUGUUUAAAAGAUAGUACACCAUGAUCAAAUGGGAUUUAUCCCAGGGAUGCAGGGUUGGUUCAACAUAUGGAAAUCAAUAAAUGUAAUUCAUCAGAUUAAUAGACUUAACAACAAGAAUGAUAUGAUCAUCUCAAUAGAUUCAUAAAAAAAAGCAUUUGACAAAAUACAGCACACCUUCAUGUUCAAAACUCUAGAAAAACUAGGGAUAGUAGGAACAUACUUCAACAUUGUAAAAGCUAUACAUGCUAAACCCAAAGCCAGCAUCAUUCUAAAUGAAGAAAAAUUGAAAGCAUUCCUGCUAAAGUCUGGAACAAGGCAAGGAUGUCCUCUUUCACCACUUCUACUCAACAUCAUCCUUGAAACCCUAGCAAGGCCACUAGAGAAAAGAAGAAAAAUAAAGAAAUACAAAUAGUUAAAGAAGAACUCAAAAUAUCACUAUUUGCUGAUGACAUGAUUCUAUGUCUAGAAGAUCUAAAAAGUUUCCAACAGAAAACUUCUAGAACUAAUAAAUGAAUUUAGCAAAGUAGCAGGACAUAAAAUCAACACCCAUAAAUCAAAUGUAUUCCUAUACAUCAGCAGUGAAUCCACUGAAAGAGAAAUUAGAAAAACUACUCCAUUCACAAUAGCCUCAAAUAAAAUAAAAUAGCUAGGAAUCAACCCAACAAAAGAGGUGAAAGACCUAAACAAUGAAAACUACAGAACACUAAUAAAAGGAAUUGGAAAAAACCUCAGAAGAUGGAAUGAUCUCCCAUGCUUCUGAAUAGGCAGAAUCAAUAUUAUCAAAAUGACCAUACUACCAAAAGCAUUAUACAUAUUUAAUGCAAUUCUAGUUAAAUUCCCAAUGACAUUCUUCAUUGAAAUUGAAAAAGGAGUCAUGAAAUUUAUUUGGAAAAAUUAGAGACCCAGAAUGGUGAAGGCAAUCCUUAGCAAGCAAAGUAAAGCAGGAGGUGUCACAAUACCAGAACUUAAGCUAUACUACAGAGCUAUAGUAACAAAAAUGGCAUGGUAUUGGCACCAAAAUAGACUUGUAGACCAAAGAUACAGAAUAGUAGACACAGAGACAAACCCACACAAAUAUGGUUAUCUCAUACUAGACAAAGGUGCCAAAAAAUUUACUGGAGAAAAGAUAGCCUAUUCAACAAAUGGUGCUGGCAAAACUGGAAAUACAUAUGUAGAAAAAUGAAAUUAAACCUCUAUCUCUCACCCUGCACAAAAAUCAACUCAAAGUGGAUCAAAGACUUAGGCACUAGAACAGAGACCCUGCAGCUAAUAAAAGAAAAAAUAGGCCCGAAUCUUCACCAUGUCAGCCUAGGAUCUGACUUCCUUAACAAGACUCGUAGAGUCCAAGAAGUAAAAUCAAGAAUCAAUAAAUAGGAUGAAUUCAAAUUAAAAAGAUUCUUCUCAGCAAAGGAAACAAUUAAUAACAUGAGAAGAGAGCCUACAGAUUGGGAGAAAAUCUUUAUCAUAUGCACCUGCGAUAAAGCACUAAUCUCUAAGAUAUAUAAAGAACUCAAAAAACUUAACACCAAAAAACAAAUAACCCAAUCAAUAAAUGGACUCAGGAACUGAAUGGACACUUCAAAGAAGAAAUACAAUUGAUCAACAAAUAUAUGAAAAGUGUUCAACAUCUAUAGCAAUUAGACAAAUGCAAAUCAAAACUACUAUAAGAUUUCAUCUCAUCAUUAUCCAAAGUACAUGUAUAAUGACACGAAUUGGUGUCAACAUACUUAAUAUACAACCAGAUAUAUAAAAAAAUGUGCUGUAUAUGUGUAAUAAGAAAUGUAAUGCAUUCUGCUUACAUUUAUUUUUUUAAAAAAAUUAAUAAAAAAAUAUUGCAUCUUACUCCUGUAAGAAUUGCAGUCAUCAAGAAUAGACUAUUAUUAAGAUAGUAGAAUGAAACAGACAUUAGGAUGUUUUAAAACUGUGUAUUAAGAUAUUAGAAUGUUUUAAAACUGUGUAUUCAGAUAAUAGAAUGAAACAGACAUUAUAAAUGUUGGUGUGGAUGUGGGGGAAAAGGUAAAUGUUGGUGAGGAUGUGGGGGAAAAGGAACACUCAUACGUUGCUGAUGGGACUGCAAAUUGGUGCAACCACUAUGAAAAGCAGUAUGGAGAUUUCUUAGAAAACUUGGAAUGGAACCACCAUUUAGCCUAGUUAUCCCACUCCUUGGUUUAUACCCAAAGGACUUAAAAUCAUCAUACUAUACUGAUGCAUCCACAUCAGUGUUUAUAGGAGCCCAAUUCAUAAUAGCUGGACUAUGGAACCAACCUAGGUGUCCCUCAAUAGAUGAAUGGAUAAAUAAAAUAUAGUAUAUAUACUCAAUGGAAUAUUACUCAGCUUUAAAGUAGAAUGAAAUUAUGGCAUUUGCCAGUAAAUGGUUGGAGUUGGAGAAUGUCAUGCUAAGCAAAAUAAUCCAAUCCCACAAAACUAAAGGCAGAAUGUUUGCUCUAAUUCACAAUAAAGCAGAGGACAUUAGGGAAGAAUAGCUUUACCUUAGAUUAGGUGGAGGGAAGUGAUGGGAGGGGAAGGAAAGAGAUAUGGGGAUAGGAAAGAUAGUAGAAUGAAACAGACAUUAUUCCUGUAUGUAUGUGACUACAUAACCGAUAUGAUCCUGUAACAUGUACACUCAGAAAAAUGAGACAUUAUAUCCCACCUAUAUAUAAUAUAUCAAAGUGCACAAAUGCAUUCUACUGCUAUGUAUAACUAAUUAAAACAAAUUUAAAUUUAAAAAAAAAUAAGAAAAGAACCUUGGGUGUGCGUACAGUCACAUAGAAAUGUUUGGAAGUAGAAAGAAAGCAGUAUUAUGAUGUUUUAAAACUGUGUAUUAAAAUAAAGCAUACAGGGGCUGCAAUUAUAGCUCAGUGGUAAAGUUCUUGUUUAGCACAAACAAGAUCCGGAAUUUACUCCUCAACACUAGGAAACAAUAAUAAUAAAUAAAAUGAAACUUAACAUACAUGUAGAAAUAUGCACAAAUUAGAGAAGUUAGCUUGUUGAAUUUUGGCAAACUUAAAAUCCCCGUAUAACCACACCAGAGGAAAAAGCAGAAUAUCACCCUGGACCACAGGUGAUUCGUGUGUGUGUGUGUGUGUGUGUGUGUGUGUGUGUGUGUGUGUCCGCGCACGCGCACAUGCAUGCAUGUAUCAUUAUUUCACUUCAAAUAUAUAAACAUUAUUUUUUUAAAGUCCAGAGUUUCUUUUUUUAAACCAGGGGUCAGCAAUCUAUGGCCUGAGGGCUAGGUGCCAUGUUUUUGUAAAUAGUGAUAUUGCAGCAUAGCCAUGCCAUUCAUUUUCAUAUUGGCUAUAGCUGUAAAUAUGACCUCAUGGUCAUGAAACCUAAUUUACUCUCUCACCCUUUAGAGGAAGAACUCUGCUGAUCCAUGACCUAAAUCCAUGACCUAGUUGCUCUAGAUCCUAGAGUACCUGUGAUAUUAAGUAACAGGUUUACUGGAAAUUAAACCAUUGAGAACAAGUGUGAUAGAAUUUUAGUUAUUAAAGUAAUAAAGUAAUACUUUGCUACUCCAGCGUUUAUUUAAUGGAUGUUAUCAAUGAAUUGAAAAAUUUCAUCAAUCACAUUUCGUUUGAGGCUCACUUCACCUAAACUUGCUAGAGACAUAAAAAACCAUUUACUCAAGAUAUAUGCCUCUGUCUUUUCACAUAUUUGUUCUAUGUUAAUGACAUAGGUCACUCACAACAAUGUGCCCUCAUAUCUGUAGGCCACAAGUAGAAAAUUAAAAAGUUCUCCUGAGUUUUCCUUCACAUAAAAUCCUACAACUAGCCCCUUAAUAAUGAAAUGGGGGUGGGGGGCUUGGGUUGUGGUUCAGUGGUAGAAUGCUUGUCUAGCAUGCGUGAGGCAUUGGGUUUCAUCUUUGGCACCAUAUAAAAAUAAAUAAAUGAAAUAAAGAUGUUGAUAGAAUUAUAGAGUCCAUCUACAGCUAAAAAAAUUUAAAAAGAGUGAAAUUGAGUCAAACCUAUGUCCAUCUACAUGCUAAGUACUCAUUCUACCAUUAUUAUUUUUAAAUAAAGAAAAGAAGGAGAUGGAGAGUUCUUCUGAAAUUAUCUAAGUAACUUCCUACACCCAUAUGCUAGGACUUCUUCAUAUAAAAACCCAGGGUAAAUAAAUAAUGUCAAUAUUUGCUAUGAUUUUUAUGUAGAAACCUCAUGACCAAGGUGAUGAGGCCUUAGGGAGACCAUUAGGUCAUGAAUGUGGGGCCCUCAUAAGUGGGAUUAUUGCCCUUUAAGAAAAAAAAAAACCCAGAGAUCUCCCUUGCCGACUCCACCAGGGGAGAACACAUCAAGAAGGUGACAUUUAGGAAGCAGGAAGUAAGUCUUCACCAGACAUUAAAUCAGACUGUGCCUUAAUUUUGGACUUUCUAGCCCCUAGAAGUGUGAGAAAUAAAUGUGUAUAAUUUGUACUCCAUUCUGUCUGUGGUAUCCUGCUAUAGCAGCGCCAGAAGACUAAGGCAAUAUCACAGAUAUUACUACAACUAUAUGAGAAUGAAAGCCUUAUAAAAUGUUAUCUUGCUCUCAAGAUUUAUAGACCAUUCUAAAUAUGCAAUGCUUUACUUUGAUUUUUGUUUAUUUUUUAAACACAGGAUCUCACUAUGUUCCCAGGUUGACUCAAACUCCUCAGCUCAAAUGAUCUUCCUGCCUCAGCAUCCUGAGAUUUUGGAAUUAUAGGUAUGUAUCAACAUGUCCAGCUAAUACAGUACUUGGAAAAGAAAAAAAUAUCUUUACCACAGAAUGGUAUUUAAUUAACACUAUAAUUCUAUUUGUUGAUAACUUUGCAUAAAAUCAACUCAUUUUCUUAAUUGAAAGUGUACUCUCUGUCAAGGAUUUGAACAGAGUCUCAGAGUAUGCCUAAAGUCUAUAGAGAAUGUAUUGAAAAUACUGUAUACAAGUAUUUUUUGCAAGGAUAGGUAUCAGAUUUUAAAUCAUUAUAAAUAAAUCUGGAAUGCUCAAAAGAUUACAUGAAACUGUAUCUGAAUUUUUCCAUCUACUCAUCCCUCACACUCUAAUUCCAACCAUCUAACCCUAAAUUUACCCUUUUCCCUGAUUUUCUCCAGAUAGAACACUAUGUACAUAGGAAAAUCAAAAUGUUAAUGAAGACUCUUCCCACAUCAUCUAUCUCAUUGCCCCUCUCAUUGGCUCUCUAUACCCUUCAUGUAGUUAUUUUUCUUCCUCACUGUUUCCCUUCCUUCUUUGACACAAAAUAUGAUAAUAAAGAAGAUAUGUUCCUUCUCAAAUAGGCACAGUGGUGAAGAAAAAUAUAUAAAAAAAUAAUUGCAGUAAAACAAUGUAAGUAUGUUGGUGCCAAUUCGGAUAAGUGCUAUGGAAUUAAAGAAGGAUAAUAAUUUUCUCUGGAGGAUGUCACCCUGGAAGUGGCAUUAGGAGAAUCUUGGAAGGUGAUAAGUUUAAUAAGCACCAAGGGGUGACAGAGAAAUGGGAGCAGGGUUAUGUGAGGGGAGAGACUCGUGGGCAAAGGCAGAGAAAUUAAGAGUGUGAUAUAUUUAGGGAAUGUUAAUAGUGGAUAUAAUUCCUAAAGGAAUAAACUUUUAUGUUAUGAGUUUUGUUUUUCAGUGAUAGGGGAUUGAACCCAGACCCUUGAGUGCUGCCACUGAGCACAUCUCCAGUUCCUAUAUUUUGUUUUAAAAUUUAUCUACUACAACCACUUGAUGAUCAUCCUUGAGGGGAAAAUGUGCUAAAAGGAAAAGGUAGAAAAAAAACUUUAAUUUUAACGAGAACAAUGAAGACAUAGAAUUGUUAGACUGGAGAACAAUUCCUUUUCCAGUAACAAAUAUUUUUUUAAACCUGAGGUGAACAAACAAAAUUCCCUAUAAUGGAAGAUGAAAUUAAAACCUUCCACGAUAAACAAAAGUUAAAAGAAUUUGCAGCUAGAAAACCAUCUCUUCAAAACAUCCUCAGCAAAUCAUUACAGGAAGAGGAAAUGGAAAAUAACAAUG
rnacentral:lncRNA from 1 species